rnacentral:rRNA from 1 species
UAGGGAAUCUUCCGCAAUGGACGAAAGUCUGACGGAGCAACGCCGCGUGAGUGAAGAAGGAUUUCGGUUCGUAAAACUCUGUUGUUAGGGAAGAAAAAAUGUAUAGUAACUAUAUACAAAAGAGACGGUACCUAACCAGAAAGCCACGGCUAACUACGUGCCAGCAGCCGCGGUAAUACGUAGGUGGCAAGCGUUGUCCGGAAUUAUUGGGCGUAAAGCGCGCGCAGGUGGUUUAGAAAGUCUGAGGUGAAAGCCCACGGCUCAACCGUGGAGGGUCAUUGGAAACUAAUAAACUUGAGUGCAGGAGAGAAAAGUGGAAUUCCUAGUGUAGCGAUGAAAUGCGUAGAGAUUAGGAGGAACACCGGUGGCGAAAGCGGCUUUUUGGCCUGCAACUGACACUGAGGCGCGAAAGCGUGGGGAGCAAACAGG